ensembl:lncRNA
UGGUUCUUUAAUAUUUUAUCAAUGUAAAAAGAAGUUGUAGUAGUCACACAAUUUUACAAUUUUUGAAAACACACUUAGUGUUGUUCAGUGUUUCCUAGUAAAACUCAUUUCUGCAUUGUUUAUUUUUUAAUUUGUUCUUCAUUGCUUGCUUUGCAAUAGAACAUGUGUUUGCAAUUGUAUUUAGCAAAAUUCAUGAUCUUAACAUUGUACACCAAAGUCAAUGUGCCUUCCUGGCACAAAACAGCCAGUAUUCAAACACUUUUCUAACGUUUGAGGUUUCUGUCUCAAUUGACAAAAUUGAAAAAUAUGUAUUAGCCAAGCAAAACCACUAUCUCAAAGCCAUGUUGAAAAUUACUCCAACCUGUCAAAGUCAAUUGAAAUUCCCUUCCCAGUCCAGUUCUCAACUUCAUUUUGUAUGUGAAAUAGAAAAAGUUGGAUUUGAUUAUAACCACAUGCAGAGGGAAUCAAGAAAUCACAUAUAUCUUAUAAAUCUCAUACUACAUACGGUUUUCUUUUCAAAGAAUUUUGUCUUUCUUUUUCUUUUUCCAUCAUUUAUCCCAUCUCACCUGUUCUGAAUAAGUCACGUAUUUGUAGCGUCUGUACACGAGCAGUUAACUAGCAGUGAGUCGUGUAGCACAUUAAAACAUCCUUGCUGUACCACAUCAUUCACACCUUGGAGAUGGAACAACCCUAAAGGAAGAGAUCUAAGAUCUGUCCCUGAUGCAGGUCCAGUAAUUUGGGAUGUUGCUCAAUGUCAGUAUAUUUUCUAUUAUUUCCUACGUUUGUAUCCCAACUACAGUGGUCUAACCAUGGUGCCCAGUUGCUGUUAAUCCAGUUCUAACAAAAGGGCAAAAGUUCACUAUGGAAGCAAGUUCCCUUCUUUAAGAUGAAAAUCAAUUUUUUUUUCACACUAGAAAAAGCCGUGAUCCAGAACACAGGAGGGGAAACACAAGGUUAUACACAAGAUGAGGAGCAUGACUAAAACAUUACCCUGCCCCUCGUCAAUGUUGGGCAAUACAAGCUGCCUGAAAGUUAGAGCCCAUAAAAUCCCUGGCAAAAUUUAGGAGAAUAACAAAAACAAAAUAAUGGCAGCCACUGGGGAAAAGAAAGGCAGGUCACUUGGAGUCAACAAUAUGAUUUCCAUCUAUAAAAUCAACCCAGAGUCCAUUGUAUUCAACGCUUAUGGGCAUUAUCUAAAGGACAAAGCAGAAUGUGUCCAAAGAAGUCUAAGAGACCAAUAUAAGCUGUGUAUCACAUCUCAGUUCACUGUUAUUUAUUGAUGAGAUAUUCUGGAAUAUUCAUCAAGGCUUUGAUGUAAAUAUUUCUUUCUCAUCUUAAGUAGGGUAAUUGAGACUCUGGUGGAAUAAAUGAUGCAUUCAAGAUUAGCCAGCAUGUUACUACCAAAGAAUGAAAUGAAUUAGAAGCUAAUUUUCAGGCCCUCGAAUGAUUUGAGAUACUCAACCAUUUGGGGUGAGUGAAGUUUUGGAUUCUAGUUUGAGAUACUUAGACUUUUCAUUGUUUAUACUUGUCUAUGGGUGAAAUGUAACUUCAAGGGAGAACAGUGUACUCUCUGUACACUCUGUAGAACGGUGUACUCUCUCUUCCACUCCCACAGCAAUCAUGGAAGGACUUGCUUUGGAAGUGCCAGAUGAUCGAAUUAGCCUGGGGUUCUGAGCUCCCACAUGGAAGACAGCUGCCCUGGAAAGUUGCCUGUACCCUCAGCAGACCUUGAGAGAGCAAAUAAAUAAACUGUUGUAUAUUAAGCCACUGGGAUUUUGGUAUUGUUUGUUUCCAAAUCGUAAUGUAACCUAUCUUGACCGAUAUACCAACCGUUAUAAAAAUACCGUUAAUAUAUUUGAAUUUAACUUUCCAGUAUUAUUUUUUAUAUAUAGAUGUAUAUAGAAAUUUGGAUCAUUUUGUACACGUUAUUUUGUAAACUUUUCUUUACCAAAUAAUAUAUAGCGAACAUUUUACCAAGUCAUUAAAUAUUUUUCUGCAAAACUCUA